UAGGGAAUCUUCCACAAUGGGCGCAAGCCUGAUGGAGCAACACCGCGUGAGUGAAGAAGGGUUUCGGCUCGUAAAGCUCUGUUGUUGAAGAAGAAUGUGCAUGAGAGUAACUGUUCAUGCAGUGACGGUAUUCAACCAGAAAGUCACGGCUAACUACGUGCCAGCAGCCGCGGUAAUACGUAGGUGGCAAGCGUUAUCCGGAUUUAUUGGGCGUAAAGAGAGUGCAGGCGGUUUCUUAAGUCUGAUGUGAAAGCCUUCGGCUCAACCGAAGAAGUGCAUCGGAAACUGGGAGACUUGAGUACAGAAGAGGGCAGUGGAACUCCAUGUGUAGCGGUGGAAUGCGUAGAUAUAUGGAAGAACACCAGUGGCGAAGGCGGCUGCCUGGUCUGUAACUGACGCUGAGACUCGAAAGCAUGGGUAGCGAACAGGAUUAGAUACCCUGGUAGUCCAUGCCGUAAACGAUGAGUGCUAGGUGUUGGAGGGUUUCCGCCCUUCAGCGCCGGAGCUAACGCAUUAAGCACUCCGCCUGGGGAGUACGACCGCAAGGUUG
rnacentral:rRNA from 1 species